UAGCACGUAGCUUAAUGGACUUCGAAGAGCAGUAACAACUGAAGCGGAUGCUGUCACGUAGAUCCCCGUCCAGUUACAUAGGCUCUGGUCUUUCCAGGUGCAGGACGAGGUACAGGCCAUUGGAGGUUCGCAAAAACUAGAGCACAAAGAGUUGAUGAGGCCGCUGAUAUACAUUUUUCCUUCGUGUACAAGAUUUGAUCGGGAACAACAACAUACAAACGUCGAUUAGCAGGCAAUAACACACAACUGUGCACGCUCCUGAUAUUCAGAGAGAUUCUAUUUUUACACUUCGGGAGUACAUAUGAAAAACACAUAUCUACUGUUGUUCAGACGUAGUUGAAACUGCAGCAUAAUCAUAUUUGACAUCUACAGUGUUGCUAUCUUGGGAACCGUGUUCUCUCCAACUGAUCUUCCACAUCUGGAGUAAGCUUACCCUGCAUGACAGAGGAAAAAUAUUACUCACAUGAUGAAUCUGGUGAUUUCUCAUUCUGUUAUCAUUCUAGUAAUCAAAUUGAACAAAGAUCAACCUCAUAAAGAGCGAAGACAUCACAAUUUUAGCAUCAGUGGAAUGAAAGUCCAUGAUAGUGUAGCAUAAAUUUUGGUGUAUUUGUAUUGCUCAAAGCAGAACAAGCAACUUACGACUGGAAACAGUUUGGCCUGUAUAAUUGUGAUUUUUAAUACAACUGUAUGUAUAAUCAUAUUUGAUCGCUUGACCGUCCUACACGACCUCAUUUUGCCGAGCGUGUGUGGCCAGAGAGCCUAUCGCCGACGCUUUCUGGGUCGUGUGGGAAGGACCCUUCUAUCGCCCACACUCACUUGGCGACGGUUCCAAAUGCCGUUAAUGAAGAGGCUUGGUAUCAUUAUGUUAAUUUGAGCUCAAAUUCAAUAUAAAUCAAAUAAAUUCUCACACAAUUACUCCCAAACUAAACCCACAAAUCACUAUACUUAUAGAGCAUUGCACGUGUUAAUCUAGCAAUUAGAGAUGAAAGGACAAAAUUGCUAACCUUUGUGAACACUUGGAUAGUUGGGGUGCCUCAAAUCUUGACAAAUCUUGGCAAAAAAUGAAGGAUGAGCUUGAGCUAAGGGGAAGAACAGAGAGGGAAAAGGAGAAAACAGAGAGGAUGAGCUCGGGACGAACUGGGGUUUAUAUAGGAAUAACUUUAGUCCCGGUUGGUAAUACAAACUGAGACUAAAGGUCAAGCUAUAGUUCCGGUUGGUGAUACAAACCGGUACUAAAGGGGCUCGUGGGGGGCCAGCCUGACGCCAUCACCAACCGGGAUUAUAGGUCAAAAAUGAACCGGGACUAAUGAUGCCCAUGCCCCCUUCCGCUCCUAGCCGUUGGAACCGGGACUAAUGGUCACAUUAGUCCCGGGCCUAGAUCGGGACUAAUGCUUCGGACGAAAGGUCUGUUUUCUACUAAUGUUCACCCACUCAACAAAGGGCCUUUUCAUAUGCAAUGUGUCAUUGUAUGGUGGUGAAAAAACAUCCGCUUCCAUAUAUCAGUGGUGAUUCCCCAAUUUGUGUCGGUUGCUGCCGACGUCGAGCUUGGAUGCGCAUGCACUGUCUCUGCUUCUUGUGAUGCUUUUGCUACUGCCCUUCUACCUCCACUUCAUAUUGAUGUGUCAUAACCGUAGACUGCAUUUGCGUUGCACCUAAUGAACUGGACAAAUACAGGGGGAAACUCGAUUGAAAGUUGACAACAACAAUGGUUAAUGUUCUGGCCCUAUAAAUUCCAAAAAUUUGUCUAAACCAUAUUUGAUGAAAGCCAUUUCUCUUAUUCUUCCUGGGAAAAUUUCAAUGCUCUCCAUAAGGGUCAAAAUGAUGAAGCACGCACGCUCCUCAUGAGGAGAUACAUAGCCUGCCGAGUCGUGACUCGGAGUAUACUCCGCGACAUCUUGGCAGCAGCAGCGAAAGCCAUUGUGGUUGGCUCUAAUACCAACUGUUUUGAACCUUGAUCCACCAGAAAAUGCAUGGCCGCAAAGGAUUGCGUAUACAUAGGUUUAGAUGCGAGGACAACUUGGUGAAACAUAUUGAUUGUUCUUGCCUCCUCAAACAUGGGCGCAUGCCAUCCUUAUAUAACGGAUGCUUGGGCCCUUGAGGCCUUGACCUUUCAUAUUCUCCUAAUAUGAUUAGACUUCCUUAUACAAAUGCAGUCUUUCCUAAUCUUACAAUUUCCUAGUGGACUCUUAGGAUACUUCUUUCUCAUUGACUCCUUGUCAGGUCCUAGCAGAAAAGGAAUCUCAACAUAUAUCCCUCAGUUGUCCAUCAGAGAAACAGAAGUGAAGGGUACAUUCACUUAUCCAACGUUGCACGUGUGAUUGAGAAAUACAAUGGCUGUUGUUACGUGGCUUAUUGUUGUAAUUGCAGUUUACUGUAAUUUAGUUUAACCAGGUGCUUUGCUUAGGCCAUUUACCACAUGUUUUACUCUCGGUAAUCACCAAACCGAUCUGGCUAUGUUUACCGUUCCCAUCUGAGUAAAGUGUAAGAAAGAAUUCGACAAAACAUAGUUCCUUAGAUUAGCUAGAAGUAAAAGUGAUCAUCUUCACAACCAUCCCGCAUUUUAUCCUGUAAUCCGACAAAUCCCUCGUUCGGUUUUUCGAUGAAUUCCUUCUAAUUAUUUUGGUCCUGGCACUCCUCCCAUGCUAGAUCAACAGGCGAUCCCUCUAUUGGAGCACAAAUUUGGUGAAGCAAAAUAUGCUUUUUGUAUUUGGUUUACUCUAAUAUCUCAGAAACAAAAGCGUCGAGUAUGGACCGCUUCACCCAGCCAACACCAUGUAUGCAUUGUGUGGUAGUGGGAAAACUGCCGCUUUCAUAUAUAUAGUCUCGAUUCCCUGCUACCAAAGAAAUCAUCAGGUCAUCAUAUUGUCAUGAUCAUUUGAAUUACUAUGGCAUGGCAGAUCAUCAUGCUUAUUGUGUUUCUCAAAAGUGCGAUUUUUACUGCUGGAAUCAGCCAUACACCUCUAUCGAAAAGAAAAGAUGGGAACCUGAAAUAAAAAUAUAUAGUUCCCAAUCCAUGACAACAAUUGCAUGAUAAAACAGGGGAAAUCUGGGUCCAGAGCUCCCACCUCUAACUCUAUCCCAAAUCGAUGAUGCAUUAACCCAUCUUCAUUCUGUGCUGAAAACCUGAACUCUUUUUCUUUUCUCAUUUGAAAGAGUAAUAAGAAAGCUGAACUCAGUCUAUCACUUAGUGACUUAGACAGGCAAGCUGAUAUAUGAUUUUGCACACAUGGAAGUCAUCGAGUGCAUAGCAUGCAGCUUAAUGGAUUCCCAAGAGCAGCAACAAUUGAUGCAGAGCAGUGACAGUAAAUCCCCGUCGAGUUACAUAGGCUCUAGUCUUUCCAAGCGCGGGACGAGUUAUAGACCAUUGGUUGUUUAGGAAAAACUAGACCAGAGAGUUGAUGAGGCCGCCGAUAUACAUGUUCCCUUCGUGUACAAUAUUUGAUCAGGAACAACCGCAUACAAACGCCAAUUAGCAGGCUAUAACACACAACCGUGCACGCUGGGGCUCUUGAUAUUCAGAUCGACCCUAUUUUUGCACUUUGCAAUUACACACGAAAAACAAAUAUCUAAAAUUGUUCAGACGUAGUUGAAACUGCAGCAUAAUCAUAUUUGACGUCUACAGUGUUGCUAUCUUGGGAACCACGUUCUCUCCAACUGAUCUUCCACAUCUGGAGUAAGCUUACC
rnacentral:lncRNA from 1 species